rnacentral:rRNA from 1 species
UCCCAGACUCCUACGGGAGGCAGCAGUGAGGAAUAUUGGUCAAUGGUCGGGAGACUGAACCAGCCAAGCCGCGUGAGGGAUGAAGGUACAGGGUAUCGUAAACCUCUUUUGUCAGGGAACAAAGGCGGGGACGCGUCCCCGGAUGAGUGUACCUGAAGAAAAAGCAUCGGCUAACUCCGUGCCAGCAGCCGCGGUAAUACGGAGGAUGCGAGCGUUAUCCGGAUUUAUUGGGUUUAAAGGGUGCGCAGGCGGAAGAUCAAGUCAGCGGUAAAAUUGCGGGGCUCAACCCCGUACUGCCGUUGAAACUGCAUCCCUUGAGUGCGCGAGAAGUAUGCGGAAUGCGUGGUGUAGCGGUGAAAUGCAUAGAUAUCACGCAGAACUCCGAUUGCGAAGGCAGCGUACCGGCGCCCAACUGACGCUGAAGCACGAAGGCGUGGGUAUCGAACAGGAUUAGAUACCCGAGUA